rnacentral:rRNA from 1 species
AAGCAUCUAAGUGGGAAGCCCCUCCUAAGAUAAGAUAUCCCGGGCCGCAAGGUCCCUAAAGGUCACUUGGAGACUACGAGUUUGAUAGGCCGGAUGUGUAAGUCCAGUAAUGGAUUGAGCUUACCGGUACUAAUUGACCGUGCGGCUUGACCAUAAUAAA